AACGCACCUUGCGCUCCUUGGUAUUCCGAGGAGCAUGCCUGUUUGAGUGUCAUGGUAUUCUCAACCCACACAUCCUUGUGAUGCUUGUGAGGCUUGGACUUGGAGGCUUGCUGGCCCGUCGCGGUCGGCUCCUCUUGAAUGCAUUAGCUUGGUUCCUUGCGGAUCGGCUCUCAGUGUGAUAAUUGUCUACGCUGUGACCGUGAAGCGUUUGGCGAGCUUCUAACCGUCCUGCUAGGGACAACUUACUUGACAUCUGACCUCAAAUCAGGUAGGACUACCCGCUGAACUUAA
rnacentral:misc_RNA from 1 species